rnacentral:rRNA from 1 species
GAUGAACGCUGGCGGCGUGCCUAACACAUGCAAGUCGAGCGAACGGACGAGAAGCUUGCUUCCCUGAUGUUAAAGGCGAACAGGUGAGUAAACCGUGGAUAAACUCCCUAUCAAACUGGGAUAAACUCGGGAAAACGGAGCUAAAACCGGAUAAUAUUUUGCACCGCAUGGUUCAAAAGUGAAAGACGGUCUUGAUGUAACUUAUAGAUGGAUACGCGCUGCAUUAGCUAGUUGGUAAGGUAACGGCUUACCAAGGCAACGAUGAAUAGCAGACCUGAGAGGGAGAUCGGGCACACGGGAACUGAGACUCAGUCCAGACUCCUACGGGGGGCAGCGGUAGGGAAUCUUCCGCGAUGGGCGAAAGCCUGACGGUGCAACGCCGCGUGAGUGAUGAUGGUCUUCGGAUCGUAAAACUCAGUUGUUAUUGAAGAACAUAUGUGUAGGUAUCUGUGCACAUCUUGACGGUACCAAAUCAGAAAGCCACGGCUAACUACGUG